GAGACGGCACAACAAUUACAGACAGCACAGUUUUACUCAAACACGGUCUUACUCAGGCAAUGUGAAAAUGUGACAACAAGAGAUGUAAUUGGUGCCGGCGGCACUUAAGUAUUGUGGGUGUUGGUUGUCUGAACGGUGUUGUAUGGCUGCUUAGCUAAAGUGGUUGUUAGCACAUACUACAUGACUUAUUCAUCACUUUUAUUAUCCGUCAGGUAAAAAUGAAACCCUAAGCUGGAGCAAUAACAAAAGUGAAGCCUUUGCAAACAGCACUAAUAACAAAAGAAAUGUCUUACCAGGUUACACGCCAUCAGCAUUUCCAGCUCUGUGCGGAUCUAAAAAGAAGAGGAGCUGAAGGUGUCACAAUGCACCAAAAUGUUUGAAGAAGCAUCAGCAGAUACUCACACAUCAGAGAAGAGAACGGGGGAGUCUGCGCGAUGGGACU